UCAUCCUCGUUCCCAGGGCUUCUCGGCUGCCUGCGUUGCCGUAAGCCCUGGGACAAGCCGAAACAGAAGCGAUUUGAUUGGUCGUUGGAAAUAGAGUGAAAUAUGAAAAGUUUAUUCAUCAAGUGGAUGUUUAUAUUCGGCAAUAUGGCUACCUUCAAGGAGUGCGCGUUCGAAAUACGAAGAAAUACAAACGUAAACUGCUAGUUUUCUAUGGAUUAAUGGAGAUAAUUUGCAAACCGAGUGAAAAAUAACAAAAUGGACAAUUAUAAAGUAGAAGUAAGCAACAAUAUCGAAGAAACGUCAAUUAUGAAGCCA